GGGUCAGAGGUAGAUCACCAGCCCCACUUGGUCUCAUGGUUUGCUGGACAGGUGUUUGGGAUUCCCUGAGACUGCCCCUCACGCAAUAUUCACCCAACUUCAAAAAGCUGGUGGAUGAAAUGCAGGCUCAGACGUCUCACUAAUUAGCAAGAGCGAAGUUUUAAAGAUUGCGCAAGAUCAGCCUGGAUCAACACUUGACCUACAUUUAACACAAAUUGCUCAAUAAAAGUUAAAGAAAGUUAUUAAGACAGUUAAAGAAAGUUAUAAC